CCUUUUCUAUCUGACGAAGGCUUAUAAGCCUAUUUUGAGCACACAAGCCUGAAAAUAACCAGCCAAAUGUUUAAUUUUCAUAGAACUAUAUUUUGAUUCAUACCAUAGAACUACAUUUGAUUCAUACCACAGGGGUAAUUAGGGUGAAAAAGAUGAAAAUAGAAUUACAAAAAUGCAAUAUGCAAAAGCGCUUUUUACAUGAGUAAAAAAAAUACCUAAACUUUAGACAAGAAAAAGUGUAUGUAGAACCUGUUACUGAAGCUCUUUGUUUAAUUGUGUUUAAAAUUUCUGUCAGAGAGAGAAGAUGCAUCAGAAGAAGGCACAAGAAGUUCAGAAUUUGGUUGAAAAUAGAGAUGAGAAGAGAUUUGAAAAUAGUUUUAAGGCUUGCAGCUCUGCUGUUCUCUCUUCACAAAUAAAAAAAAUUAUUCCAUCUAAAGUAUAUGAAAAUCGUAAAAGCUCUAUUGCAGCUGGCUUGGAAAAAGUUAAUGUAGCUCUUGAACAAAAAAAUUCAAAGAUUAUUGAAUAUUUGUCUAAGGAAAAGUCUAUUCUUGAACCAGAAGCAUAUAAUGUUCUUGUACCGGAAACUGUUGAAGAAGCUGUUGAUCCAAACAUAAUUAAGAUACUUCCUGUGCCUUUACCAGAGAAAAAAAUAUUUAAAGACACAUUAACUCUUCCUCCCUCAAAAGUUCCAUGGAAGGAAAGGUUCAUGCAAGGUAUCAAAUACAACUACAGUGACAUUUCUUACCAUUUUAAAGUGUGGAAUGAUUCUUUAAAAGAGAUAGAAGGUUAUUUUGGUGCUGGAACUGUAUCAUAUUUUGUGUUUCUGAGGUGGCUUCUCUUAAUGAAUUGUUUUAUGCUAGUUUUGAUCAUUUUCUUUAUUGUUUUGCCUUGCACUCUACUCACGCCGUUUGUAUAUUCACUUCCUCCAAAUUUUACUCUUCCUAUUAAUGACACAAAGCCUUUGUAUGAAGUAUUUGAAAAAAAGCAAACUUUUUCCUUAGCUCUUGUCACAAAUCAUUCUAAAAUGAGUGAAAAAGAUAUUGUAAAAUAUUGUCACAGGAAGUACUUUAAAGAGAUUAAGGAAGCAAAGACCAAAAGUUUCUUUGAUAACUUACAGAAUCUACUUCAAGGAACGGGAUGGAUGGAGCCAACAAUUAUGUUUUUAGGCAAUUAUCCCAUAGCUUCUGUUUCUGGAGGAUUCGUUUAUAAUGUCCCUUUAGCAUUUGUAUUUGUAUACAUUGCGAUCUAUUUAUUCUGCUUCAUUAUACUGAUGGCAUAUUCUUCGUUUGGAGUUUAUGAAGCCAUAAUGUCUCAGGAAUAUUCUGCACCUCGAUUUGCCAAUGAGGUUUUCUCUGCUUGGGAUUAUUGCAUUCAAGGUAGCAAAAAUGCAGAAAUUCAUCGCAGAAGUUUUACUAACAAUAUAAGAACAACUUUGUCAGAAAUUGUGUACAAAAAAAAAGCUGAAGCAAGAUCACAGAGCGUAUGGAUAAAAUUAUAUUGCAUAAGAUUUCUUGUGAAUUUGUCAGUUAUAGCAUUGAUUUCUGGAAGCUAUUAUAUGAUAUUCACUCUUGUUCACUUGCAGCUGCGGGAAGAAAAUUAUCCUUAUCAACCAGGAAUUAAAACUUUAAUGUUGCAAUAUAUGCCUGUUUUAUCCGUGACAGCAAUCAGAACAGCUUCUCCUUUAUUUUUCUCAUUUGUGACACAAUUUGAAAAGUUUCAUGCCAGAACAACUGUGAAUUUAUCUCUUGCAAGGAGUGCUUUUAUUGGACUCUCGUCUGUUGUUGUUUUAGUUGCUUCUUUUCAACAUCAAAUAUUUUGCCAACCUGUAGAUAUUUGUGGCAAAGGUAAAUCUCACUGUCAUGCACCCAUGUGUUGGGAAACAUAUGUUGGCCAAGAGUUGUAUAAGCUAAAUGUCUCUGAGUUCUUAGUUUCUCUGUUCUUUUUCUUUUUAAACGUUGGUAGAAAUUAUAUAACAAAGAAGUUUGAUAAUAGAUUUACGAGAUGGAUUGGCAGUGCUCAAUUUGUUCUACCUCAAGAAAUUUUGGCUCUUAUUUAUCUGCAAACAAUUACUUGGCUACUGUCAUGAAGUAUUCUUCGCCUGCAACUACUAUCUACAAAGCUUCUCGAUUCAAUUCCGUGUACAUAUUUAUAUUAAUGAUAACAUUUCUCAUAGUUGUGACGAUUCAGUUUUACACUUGCAGGAAAAUCACUCCAUCCUAUGGCUGCAGUCCUUUUCGAUAUUACGAUUCUAUGAGUGCAGUCUUGACCGAACAAUUGGAAAAACUCCCUCAUUUCUUGCAGUCCUUGAGAUUCUUUCUAACUGGAUGGUUUUUCGUGCCUGCC
rnacentral:misc_RNA from 1 species